CGUGCCUAAUACAUGCAAGUCGUACGAGGGAAGUCCAGCUUGCUGGACGGAACGAGUGGCGAACGGGUGAGUAAUACGUAAGCAACCUGCCUGCAAGGACUGGGAAUAACACCUGGAAACGGGCGCUAAUACCGGAUAGGUAACAAAGGGGCAUCCCUAUGUUAUUAAAGGUUAGAAACACAAGCAGAUGGGCUUACGGUGCAUUAGCUAGUUGGUGAGGUAACGGCCCACCAAGGCGAUGAUGCAUAGCCGGCCUGAGAGGUGAACGGCCACAUUGGGACUGAGACACGGCCCAGACUCCUACGGGAGGCAGCAGUAGGGAAUUUUCGGCAAUGGACGAAAGUCUGACCGAGCAACGCCGCCGUGAGUGAAGAAGGUUUUCGGAUUGUAAAGCUCUGUUGUAAGGGAAGAACAGCACGGAAAGAAUCCGUGAAUGACGGUACCUUACCAGAAAGCCACGGCUAACUACGUGCCAGCCGCCGC
rnacentral:rRNA from 1 species